CUGCUGUAUACAAAUUAUCUAGUUAAUAAGGAGUUAUUUGUAAUAAGAUAAUAUGAAAAGUGAGUCUCUUGUUCGUGAGUAAGAGGUUAGCUUCACAAAAUACAGGCAUUAUCUCUUGAUCUGGGUCUCUUAUACUCUGAAGAUGGCUUCGGAAACAUGAAGCUCUGGAAACUUGAUCUGUAUUGAGAGUUGUGCCAUGAAGAAAUUGCAAGGGUGUGGUACAGGUGUGCAGGAAGUAGCGGCGCCUACUAAAUUGCAUACAAGAAGUUGCCCCACUUACCAGCGACAAGGCUCAGGGUGUCCACGGACAUCUCUCUUGCA